UCUCCAGACAAGUGAUCCUGCAGGAAAUUCUUUUCCUUUCCAAGAUAUUCUUCAACAGCCAUGUUGUGACACUUGGCCUACAUGCAGCCAAGUUUCAGCCUCAUUUCAGCCAUUGUUUUCAAAUUUAUUCAUCAAUCCUAAUUAAUGACUGCAGCCUUCAUUUUCACCUCACCACACACCUUCAUUUUCACCUCACCACACAGACCACUUAUGCUUCAGCUUAUGCUCCAGCUUUCAGGCUUUGAGGAUCAGGAGGUUUAGCAUUGCUUUCCCGUGACAGGUUUACGAUUAAACUACAGGCUUUGCCUAUUCAGGUGGGUUUUAUUUUACAUACAAUGUAUCUUGAGUUAUAUAAGCUCUGAUAUUUCAUGAAAAUUAUCUGUUUAUCCAAUAUAAAUGUUUUUAUGUGCGUUCUGUAAUUGUUUAAGGCUCGCUUAAGUAUCGAUCGAGAUUCUCAUUUGGCCUAACACGCUAAAUGAGGAUUGUGUACACAGGGUUAGUGGCUCGAUGAGUUGAUCGCCAUCGUGCACUAACAGAUUUAGAACGUUAUAAGGGUGGGUGCUUGACAGGAGGUUAUCCGGAGCACGGUGCUUGACAGGAGGUUAUCCGGAGCACAGUUAAGGUUAUUGAUUCCGACCGGGUGCGUCCCGAGAUCAAUAACAGAUUUUGGAUCUGACUGGGUGCGUCCCGAGAUCAGUGAAUGUAGGGAGGAAGUGAGUAACAAUCGAACGUACAUGGCGCGCCACUUAAUGAAGAAAAGUUUUGUCAUGCUUAGAAGUGGGAUUCCGUUUUAAAACCUUCUAAGUCAUGAUUGUGAUAUUGGAUAAACUGCUUCGAUUACUUCAUAAAAUAUUUCGAAAACUUGUGCCCACUGAGUACAUUAGUACUCAGCCCAAAUUAUUUUCAAAUGUUUUCAGGUUGAUCGGUUGGUGCAGACGGGACUGAGCUGAGGCUAGGGUUCUACGAUGUCUUUUGCUUCCGCUAAUGACUAGCUUGUCACCUCGUUCUCCAUCCCCUAAAUUGAAACUUCUAUUAUGUGGUACAAUAUUAUCUUGUUGGGCUUAGACUCUUAACCCAUAUUUCUAUUAGUGAAGCUAUCAAUGAUUAUAAUCAGAGUCACGAAACUAAACCUAUGCGAUCCUGAGUUUGAAUAUUGUCAUUUGAUUGGCAUCUCUCAACGCCUUUCAUUUUAUCUUCUUUCAUCUUAUCUCUUUAUAUAUGAAUACCCGAUUUAAUGGGUAAAUUAUCAAUUUUAUUCAGCUCAA